UAUCAUUAUCAUUAUUAUUAUUAUAUAUAUAUUUUUUGCAGCUUUUGGCCGAGCUGGGUUUGAACCUGCCACCUCUGGCCCUACCCCUUUGAGACACAGGCACUGCCCCUGAUACCCUGUUCUUAAUAAUAGAUAGAAUAACCAGACAGAAGUACAGAAAUAGAAGACUUGAAUUACACAAUAAACCAACCAGAUCUAACAGAAAUAUAUGAACAGUCUACCCAAUAAGAAGAAAAUACAAUUUCUUCUCAAGUACACAAAGGGAAUUCUCUAGGACAGACUGUAUAUUAGACACAAAUAAAUAUCAAUGGAUUUUAAAAGAUAGAUGUCAUACAAAAUGUCUUCUCUGACUACAGUGGCAUAAAGUCAGAAAUCAAUAACAGGCUCUCUGUGAGCUGCUCCAGGGGAGCGGCUGGGUGUUCGCCAUCUUAAGGAGAAGAUGUACUCGCCCAUGGCACACCUGGCGCGGGCAAACCCCUUCAACGCGCCGCACCUGCAGCUGGUGCACGACGGCCUCGCGGGCCCCCGCAGCUGCCCCGCCCCGACGCUCUCGCAACCUGGCAGCCGCCGCUGUUGAAGAGUACAGUUGUGAAUUUGGCUCGGCGAAGUAUUAUAGUCUGACACACACUGCUGUCGUUCCCCUGGAUUUAGUGAAAUGCCGUAUGCAGGUGGACUCCCAGAAGUACAAGGGGAUAUUUAAUGGAUUCUCAGUUACACUUAAAGAGGAUGGUUUUCGUGGUUUGGCUAAAGGAUGGGCUCCAACUUUCAUUGGCUUCUCCAUGCAAGUUUGGCUUUUAUGAAGUAUUUAAAGUCUUAUAUAGCAACACGCUUGGAGAGGAGAACACCUACUGUGGAGCACAUCACUAUAUUUGCUGCCUCCGCCAGGGCUCAAUUCUUUGCCAACAUUGCCCUGGUUCCUAUGGAAGCUGCUAAGGUUCAAAUUCAAACCCAACCAGGUUAUACCAACACAUUGAGAGAUGCAGCACCCAAGAUGUAUAAGGAAGAAAGCCUAAAAGCAUUCUAUAAGGGAGUUGCUCCUCUGUGGAUGAGACAGAUACCAUACACCAUGAUGAAAUUCGCCUGCUUUGAAUGCACCGUUGAAGCAUUGUACAAGUUUGUGGUUCCCAAGCCCCGCAGUGAAUGUACAAAGCCAGAGCAGCUGGUUGUAACAUUUGUGGCAGGUUACAUAGCUGGAGUCUUUUGUGCAAUUGUUUCUCACUCUGCUGAUUCCGUGGUGUCUGUGUUGAAUAAAGAAAAAGGUAGCAGUGCUUCUCAGGUCCUCCAGAGACUUGGAUUUAAAGGUGUAUGGAAGGGACUCUUUGCCGUAUCAUCAUGAUUGGCACUCUGACUGCACUACAGUGGUUCAUCUAUGACUCUGUGAAGGUCUACUUCAGGCUUCCUCGCCCCCCUCCACCGGAGAUGCCAGAGUCUCUGAAGAAGAAGCUCGGGUUAACUCAGUAAAUAGAUCAAGGCAAAUAUAGACUGAAUCUGCUUGCUGAUCAGUGUCAAAGUACAAAAGGAAUUUUUAUGUAUUUGACAGUGUAGGAAGUUGUCUAUUCCUGAUGUAAUUACGUAGUACUCUUGUGUAAGGCAGGAGUUUCAAAUUUGCUGUUGAAAUAAACCCAGCUGUUCAUGAAAAAAA